rnacentral:rRNA from 1 species
AUUGAACGCUGGCGGCAUGCCUUACACAUGCAAGUCGAACGGCAGCACGGGUGCUUGCACCUGGUGGCGAGUGGCGAACGGGUGAGUAAUACAUCGGAACGUACCUUAUCGUGGGGGAUAACGCAGCGAAAGCUGUGCUAAUACCGCAUACGCCCUGAGGGGGAAAGCGGGGGAUCGCAAGACCUCGCGCGAUUAGAGCGGCCGAUGCCUGAUUAGCUUGUUGGUGGGGUAAAAGCCCACCAAGGCGACGAUCAGUAGCUGGUUGGAGAGGACGAUCAGCCACACUGGGACUGGGACACGGCCCAGACUCCUACGGGAGGCAGCAGUGGGGAAUUUUGGACAAUGGGGGCAACCCUGAUCCAGCAAUGCCGCGUGAGUGAAGAAGGCCUUCGGGUUGUAAAGCUCUUUUGUCAGGGAAGAAACACCGGCUCUAACACAGUCCGGGAAUGACGGUACCUGAAGAAUAAGCACCGGCUAACUACGUGCCAGCCGCCGCAGUAA